rnacentral:rRNA from 1 species
UGCAGAGGGGGCAAGCGUUAUUCGGAAUUAUUGGGCGUAAAGGGCGCGUAGGCGGCCUGGCAAGUGGAAGGUGAAAUCCCUCGGCUUAACCGAGGAACUGCCCUCCAAACUGCUUGGCUUGAGUCCGGGAGAGGUGAGUGGAAUUCCCAGUGUAGCGGUGAAAUGCGUAGAUAUUGGGAGGAACACCAGUGGCGAAGGCGGCUCGCUGGACCGGCACUGACGCUGAGGUGCGAAAGCGUGGGGAGCAAACAGG